rnacentral:sRNA from 14 species
UUUGGCAUAUCCAUGUACACAAUAAUAUAUCAUUAUAGUAUUGA